rnacentral:rRNA from 1 species
UACAGAGGUCUCAAGCGUUGUUCGGAUUCAUUGGGGCGUAAAGGGGUGCGUAGGUGGUGCUGUAAGUCAGGUGUGAAAUCUCGGGGCUCAACCCCCGGAAACUGCACUUGAUACUGCAGUGCUCGGAGGACUGGAGAGGAGAUUGGAAUUCAUGGUGUAGCAGUGAAAUGCGUAGAUAUCAUGAGGAAGACCAGUGGCGAAGGCGGAUCUCUGGACAGUUCCUGACACUGAGGCACGAAGGCCAGGGGAGCAAACGGG